GAUGAACGCUGGCGGCAUGCCUAAUACAUGCAAGUCGAACGAAGCACUUGUGCUUAGUGGCGAACGGGUGAGUAAUACGUAAGCAACCUGCCCUAAACACGGGGAUAACUACUGGAAACGGUAGCUAAUACCCGAUAGGUCAUAAAGUGGCAUCACUUAAUGAUUAAAGGUCCCUUCAAGGACCAGUUUGGGAUGGGCUUAUGGCGCAUUAGCUAGUUGGUGAGGUAACGGCUCACCAAGGCGAUGAUGCGUAGCCGACCUGAGAGGGUGAUCGGCCACAUUGGGACUGAGACACGGCCCAGACUCCUACGGGAGGCAGCAGUGGGGGAUAUUGCACAAUGGGCGCAAGCCUGAUGCAGCAACGCCGCGUGGGUGAAGACGGCCUUCGGGUUGUAAAGCUCUGUUGUGGGGGACGAAACAAAUGACGGUACCCCACCAGAAAGCCACGGCUAACUACGUGCCAGCCGCCGCCGUAACAC
rnacentral:rRNA from 1 species